UACGAAGGGGGCUAGCGUUGCUCGGAAUCACUGGGCGUAAAGCGCACGUAGGCGGCUUUUUAAGUCAGAGGUGAAAUCCUGGAGCUCAACUCCAGAACUGCCUUUGAUACUGGAAGCUUGAGUUCGGGAGAGGUGAGUGGAACUGCGAGUGUAGAGGUGAAAUUCGUAGAUAUUCGCAAGAACACCAGUGGCGAAGGCGGCUCACUGGCCCGAUACUGACGCUGAGGUGCGAAAGCCAGGGGAGCGAACGGG
rnacentral:rRNA from 1 species